AUAAUUCUUCAGGGCAGGGUGUAAUUCCCUACCGGCGGUAUAGCCCGCGAGCCUUAUAGGCAUGAUUCGGUGAAACUCCGAAGCCGACAGUAAAGUCUGGAUGAAAGAAGAACAAU
rnacentral:ncRNA from 2 species